UACGGGGGGGGCGAAGCGUUGUUCGGUAAUUACUGGGCGUAAAGGGCUCGUAGGUGGCCAACUAAGUCAGACGUGAAAUCCCUCGGCUUAACCGGGGAACUGCGUCUGAUACUGGAUGGCUUGAAUUCGGGAGAGGGAUGCGGAAUUCCAGGUGUAGCGGUGAAAUGCGUAGAUAUCUGGAGGAACACCGGUGGCGAAGGCGGCAUCCUGGACCGAGAUUGACGCUGAUGCGCGAAAGCCAGGGGAGCAAACGGG
rnacentral:rRNA from 1 species